rnacentral:sRNA from 1 species
UCCUAGCCCCGAUUGCAGCGACAUCCUUUUUUGUUGCGGCCGAAGCGAAGCGGAGGCCGUAAUGAAAAAGAUAUAGCGGAAAGCGGGAUAAAGC